rnacentral:rRNA from 1 species
AUAUAAUUAAGCGGAGGAAUAGAAACCAACAGGGAUUCCCUCAAUAGUGGCGAACGAAGUGGGGAGAGCCCGAGAUGUGAAUCGAAGUAGUUUACUGCUUCGAGUUGUGCAUCAUGGUCUUUGCCAGUGCAGUUUUUCGUCUAGGUGCCUGGAAAGGCAUGCCAGAGAAGGUGAUAGCCCUGUCUUUGAUGAAAUAACUACGCGUACGGCACUGAUCGACUGAGUCACGCUCUUUGGGAGUAGAGCGCAAAUAGGGUGGUAACCUCCAUCCAUGGCUAAAUAUUGGCGAGAGACCGAUAGCGCACAAGUA